UUUAUCUAUCUGCUCUCCCCAGGAUGGCACAGAAGGACAAUUCAAACACCAGUGAUGUUCAAAUGAGUUUCUUUCCUCUGCAGGCUCUCACACCAGGCCUCCUCAUUCAGUUAUAGCCUAAACCAGCUCUUGUUCCAGUGGCUUCAGCUGAGCAGCAUUUGCCCUAUGACAUCUAAAGAACAGGGGUCAGCUGAGGUUCAAGGUGCAAAAAGGAGGAGGAAUGUGAAGAAGACCUCAAGCUCUUCUGUCUUGUACUCCAGCUACAGCCACAUCAGAUGGGCCAUAAAUCAUGGAAUAAUACCGGCAGGAACUGGGACUUGUCUGCUGAGAGGUGAGGUGAUGAUCCGGGGUUAAAAACUACUGUCGGCUGUUCCAUACAGAAUCAGGAGAGGUGCAAUUCUUCCAGCACUAAAGAACAAAUUACAAGCUCACCUGUCCUGCCCAACUCCCUCCUCUCUCGUAAGGUCAAGCAGCUCAGACUGCUGCGUUAAUAAAACAACCCCAGCUCCCAUCACUCACUGCCGGCUUUAUCUGUUCCAGACACCUCUUGCUGCCAACAGCCCCGUUCUAUUUUUACGGAGCAAAUGCUUUCACGGCUCCUCUUCCCAGUGCUGCCCACUUGAUGUGUUGUUCACACCUCGUUUACUCUUCACACCCCUCAAGGACCUGGCGGAUCGGCGUGAAAGGAUCCCUGCCCUGGCCAGCCCUGGGCUCCGAUAGGAACGGGAAAACAAAUAGGAACCAGAGUUGCUGUCAGCACUUGUGGCUCUGGAGGGGACAGGAGGGAGAAGGGCAAGGGAGGGUAUCUUCACUCCUUCAGCUGAUUAUCCCUUCUCUCCUUGGAGCCGGUUGGGAGUGGAAGCCGUCAAGAAGAGCAUCCUCUCAGCCGGGGCAUGAAAUACUGCAUCCCAUCUGGAACCUUCCUGCAAUUCUCCAUUGGGAGCACAAGGAGCUUCCAGCAAGGGGUCCAAAAUAUCCACCGGCAAAUGCCCAACAAUUCAGGAAGUUUAAGACUCACAGUCCCAGACGAGUAACUUAAUUAUUGAACAAACUUUACAGAGUGCUAAAGAUUCCCUGUGCAAUCACUGGGAUCAUGGGAGCCAGGCUGGGUCAGCUCAUCCCAGAGUCUUUAGGGUUGCCAUGCAGGAAACAUCCCUGUCCUUCACCACUUCCUAAAGCUUCAGCAAGUUGUGCUCCAAGUGUGGCUGCUAAACCAAGUGUAGUCUUGGAAAUAUUCCCAAAACAUCCAUCUCAGUGACAAUUAGGUAAGAAAUACGUUAUCAGUUCAGAGUUUUUCCAGUAACUUUCUACUUAAUCUUUGGAACGUGCACUAUUCAAAGUGAGAGGAUCACAGAUUUAAUUGGGAUGGAAACAAAUGCAUACGCCCAAUAUAAUUUGACUUCAAGGAACAAUCCCAGUAUUUAAAACCUAUCAGUUUUGCUUUCCACCUCAGUUAUUAAUAGCAUAGGUGAAA